AACUGAUCGCCGUGACUGUCUAAGUAUAAGCAAUUAUACGGCGAAACUGCGAAUGGCUCAUUAAAUCUAAGUUAUCGUUUAUUUGAUAGUACCUUACUACUUGGAUAACCUGUGGUAAUUCUAGAGCUAAUACAUGCUAAAAACCCCCACUUCGAGAAGGGGAUGUAUUUAUUAGAUUAAAAACCAAUGCCCUCCGGGGCUCUCUGGUGAUUCAUGAUAACUUCUCGAAUCGCAUGGCCUUGCGCCGGCGAUGGUUCAUUCAAAUUUCUCCCCUAUCAACUUUCGAUGGUUAGGGUAUUGGCCCAAACAUGGUUGCAACGGGUAACGGAGGGUUAGGGCUCGACCCCGGAGAAGGAGCCUGAGAAACGGCUACCACAUCCAAGGAAGGCAGCAGGCGCGCAAAUUACCCAAUCCCGACACGGGGAGGUAGUGACAAUAAAUACUGAUACAGGUCUCUUUUGGGUCUUGUAAUUGGAAUGAGUACAAUUUAAAUCCCUUAACGAGGAACAAUUGGAGGGCAAGUCUGGUGCCAGCAGCCGCGGUAAUUCCAGCUCCAAUAGCGUAUAUUAAAGUUGUUGCGGUUAAAAAGCUCGUAGUUGAACCUUGGGCCUGGCUGACCGGUCCGCCUCACCGCGUGUACUGGUUCGGCCGGGCCUUUCCCUCUGUGGAACCCCAUGCCCUUCACUGGGUGUGGCGGGGAAACAGGACUUUUACUUUGAAAAAAUUAGAGUGCUCCACGCAGGCCUAUUCUCGAAUACAUUAGCAUGGAAUAAUGAAAUAGGACGUGUGGUUCUAUUUUGUUGGUUUCUAGGACCGCCGUAAUGAUUAAUAGGGACAGUCGGGGGCAUCAGUAUUCAAUUGUCAGAGGUGAAAUUCUUGGAUUUAUUGAAGACUAACUACUGCGAAAGCAUUUGCCAAGGAUGUUUUCAUUAAUCACGGAACGAAAGUUAGGGGAUCGAAGAUCGAUCUAGAUACCGGUCGUAGUCUUAACCAUAAACUAUGCCGACUAGGGAUCGGACGAUGGUUAUUAUUUGACUCGUUUCGGGCACCUCUUACGAGAUACAAUCAAAAGUCUUGCUACACUCAGACAG
rnacentral:rRNA from 1 species